AACGAACGCUGGCGGCAGGCCUAACACAUGCAAGUCGAACGCCCUAGCAAUAGGGAGUGGCGCACGGGUGCGUAACGCGUGGGAAUAUGCCCUUGACUGCGGGACAACAUCGGGAAACUGAUGCUAAUACCGCAUAAUGACUCCGGUCCAAGGAUUUAUCGGUCAAGGAUUAGCCCGCGUCUGAUUAGCUAGUUGGUGAGGUAAUGGCUCACCAAGGCGACGAUCAGUAGCUGGUCUGAGAGGAUGAUCAGCCACACUGGGACUGAGACACGGCCCAGACUCCUACGGGAGGCAGCAGUGAGGAAUAUUGGACAAUGGGCGCAAGCCUGAUCCAGCCAUGCCGCGUGAGUGACGAAGGCCUUCGGGUUGUAAAGCUCUUUCAGAUGCGAAGAUAAUGACGGUAACAUCAGAAGAAGCCCCGGCUAAAUUCGUGCCAGCCGCCGCGGUAA
rnacentral:rRNA from 1 species